ACUCGGAGGGAAAAGAGAAGCGACACGAUAGCGUCUUCUUGCGCCGCGGCGGUGCGCAGGCGCCGUGGCCCAACUGGGGACUUUGUUCUCCGCGGAGAAACCCAAGGGCGGUGCCGGUGAGCGGCUGCGCACGCGCAUCGCUUCAUUUCCGGUGCUCGCUCGCUGGGUCGCUCGGGUCGGCUUCGGUAGCUGUCGCUCCCGCUCUCCUACCCCUGCCAACCGCCGCUAGGGCCUCCGCCGCUGCCGCGUCGCUUCCUCUCUCGCUUGCUCGCCCAUCGUCACUGAUGCAGCGCCGGGACGACCCUGCCGCGCGCAUGACCCGGUCCUCAGGCCGCAGCGGCUCCAUGGACCCCUCAGGUGCCCACCCCUCGGUGCGUCAGACGCCCUCUCGGCCGCCGCCGCUGCCGCAUCGGUCCCGAGGAGGCGGAGGGGGGCCCCGAGGGGGCGCCCGGGCCUCGCCGGCCACGCAGCCGCCACCGUUGCUGCCCCCGUCGGCCACAGGUCCCGACGCGACAGUGGGCGGUCCAGCGCCGACCCCGCUGCUGCCCCCUUCAGCCACAGCCUCCGUCAAGAUGGAACCGGAGAACAAGUACCUGCCAGAACUCAUGGCCGAGAAGGACUCCCUCGACCCGUCCUUCACUCACGCCAUGCAGCUGCUGACGGCAGAAAUUGAGAAGAUUCAGAAAGGUGAUUCAAAAAAGGAUGAUGAAGAGAACUACUUGGAUUUAUUUUCUCAUAAGAACAUGAAGCUGAAAGAGCGGGUACUGAUACCUGUCAAGCAGUAUCCAAAGUUCAAUUUUGUGGGGAAGAUUCUUGGACCACAAGGGAAUACAAUCAAAAGACUGCAGGAAGAGACUGGCGCGAAGAUCUCUGUGUUGGGAAAGGGUUCAAUGAGAGACAAAGCCAAGGAAGAAGAGCUUCGCAAAGGUGGAGACCCCAAAUAUGCCCACUUAAAUAUGGAUCUGCAUGUCUUCAUUGAGGUCUUUGGACCCCCGUGUGAGGCUUAUGCUCUUAUGGCUCAUGCCAUGGAAGAAGUCAAAAAGUUUCUUGUACCAGAUAUGAUGGAUGAUAUCUGCCAGGAACAAUUUCUAGAGCUGUCAUACUUGAAUGGAGUACCUGAGCCCUCUCGUGGACGUGGGGUGCCAGUAAGAGGCCGGGGAGCUGCACCUCCCCCUCCACCUGUUCCCAGGGGCCGUGGCGUUGGACCACCUCGGGGGGCUUUGGUGCGUGGAACCCCAGUGAGAGGCGCCAUCACUAGAGGUGCCACUGUGACUAGAGGAGUGCCACCCCCACCUACAGUGAGGGGUGCUCCAGCACCAAGAGCACGGACAGCAGGCAUCCAGAGAAUACCUUUGCCUCCACCCCCUGCACCAGAAACAUACGAAGAAUAUGGAUAUGAUGAUACAUAUGCAGAACAGAGUUAUGAAGGCUACGAAGGCUAUUACAGCCAGAGCCAAGGGGACUCAGAAUAUUAUGACUAUGGACAUGGGGAGGUUCAAGAUUCUUAUGAAGCUUAUGGCCAAGAUGACUGGAAUGGGACCAGGCCAUCUCUGAAGGCCCCUCCAGCUAGGCCAGUAAAGGGAGCAUACAGAGAACACCCUUAUGGACGUUAUUAAAAACAAACAGGAGGGGAAAAUAUCAAUUAUGAGCAAAGUUGUUACUGAUUUCUUGUAUCUCCCAGGAUUCCUGUUGCUUUACCCACAGCAGACAAGUGAUUGAAAACUCCUGAGACAUUUCCUGGACUAGAAUGGGUAGUGAAGACCCAUGUCAGCUGUCGGACGAGUCUGGAAACCAGGAGAGCUACCUGCUGUAUAAAGGCCGGCCUGGAGGCAUUUGCUGAGCACAGAGAAACCCAGGAGAGAUCAGCAGUUCUCUUUCACCCCACCCCUUGAUCUAUCUGAUUUACCCACAGAGAAAACAGACAGAAUCAUCCUAUAAGAAUCUUUGGGCCCAGAACAGAACAAGGGUGCAGAGGACUGUGAUGCUUAACAGUUAAACUUGCUCAAGACUUCAGGGUUGAAAGGGAUUAACAGUAUCCCUAGCACGGCCUUCUAGAUCAGAAUAGAUUGGCAACUUCCAAUGUGACCUUCCCCGGCUGUCUUCCCUUUAGCCUGCAGAACUGGCUGAACACCCUACUACCACCUCUUUUUCCUCCCUGCUACAUCUGUGUUUUAAGUGUCAAUCUGGCAACUCUUGGCCACUUCCAGAGAGAGAGUAGUCACCCCUUCUUGUAACAAGCCAAGGAAAGCCAAGUGGGAAGGUUCAUUUAUUUUGGGCAAAUUAUUUAACCCCUGAGCCUGUUCAUCUGUUCUUUACUUGAGCCUGUUCAUCUGUUCUUUACUUGUCCAAAAAGCUCUUAAAAGGAGGGGGUUUUUUUCUACUUCUCUACUAUGUUCCUUCCCCAGAAAGUACCUGCCCCUAAGGAGCUCAAUAAAGGUUUGGUCAAGUGAUGAAUGGUCUUACUCUGGUAGCUUCUAUAACUUUGGGAAAGAGCCAAAUCCCCAUAUCUAGCUUUUUCCUCCCCUCUAGCUAUACUAGGCCAGUUGUUUGUCCUAACAUUUUCUCUGGAAGGAUUGAUUGGAAGUCAGUGUUUGAUAGACUCCUGGGUUUCUAAAGCCUGUGCCUAGCUGAUUUACACUGAGUUUCCUCAGAGCUUAGGGACUUUCAAUACACAACACAUGAUUUAAGGGGAAGGACUCAGUUUAGGGAAGGAGGCUUUCUGCAGUUUAACUGUACCUGGGGCAGUCUCAUGAGCUUGGAUUCAUUCUUAGCAGGAACAGAGGUAUAAUGGAAAGAGACCUUGAAAUCAGUUGAUUCAUGUUGGGCAAGCUGUGUAACCUCCAAGCCUGCUGGUCUUCAUUGUUGAUGACUAUAAAUAUUAGCUAAUAACUUGAUUGUCUCAUAUCCGGCAUUGUGUCAAGCACUUACAUGCACUGUUUCAUUUAAUAUUCCAGACCAAUAUAUUUUUUUUACAGAUGAUGAAACUGAGACUUAAGGAGAAUAAAUAAUUUGGCUGUUUAGAAAAAGGUGCACAGAGAAUGUUGCCGGGAUGUGGGACUUUCAGGGAUAAAACUGGGUGAGUCCCGGGCAAACCUAGAUGAGUUUGUCACUCUCUUUGCAUUGGUCGCUCUAAAUGCAUGGCUAGCCACUAAGGCUGUACUUUUCCUUGGCUGUUUCUUGGGUUUCUCCUGGGCCUCAGUUUGUAGCCAGAUUCCCUUCAGUUCACCAGACAAGGGAGGAGAGACAGGAGUGAGGGAAGUGGAUGGUGUUCUGGUCAUAGAUAAAUGGAGACACAGACCCUGCAUCACCGUGGAGCCUGUAUUCACUUAGGAUCUUAGGCAGACAUCCCCUCAAUCCCCAGGUAUACAUUAUCUACUUGGGAGCUACAGAAUUCUACAGGAAAGCUCAUAGGGCUGAAGCCAAAUAAAUCUAGAUUCAAAGCACA